GAACCUACGGGACGCAGCAGUCGGGAAUAUUGCACAAUGGAGGAAACUCUGAUGCAGUGACACCGCGUAUAGGAAGAAGGUUUUCGGAUUGUAAACUAUUUUAGACAGGGAAGAAAAAAGACAGUACCUGUAGAAUAAGCUCCGGCUAACUACGUGCCAGCAGCCGCGGUAAUACGUAGGUGGCAAGCGUUAUCCGGAUUUAUUGGGCGUAAAGGGAACGCAGGCGGUCUUUUAAGUCUGAUGUGAAAGCCUUCGGCUUAACCGGAGUAGUGCAUUGGAAACUGGGAGACUUGAGUG
rnacentral:rRNA from 1 species